UGGGGAGUAUUGCACAAUGGAGGAAACUCUGAUGCAGCAACGCCGCGUGAGGGAAGAAGGUUUUCGGAUUGUAAACCUCUGUUUUUAGUGAAGAAACAAAUGACGGUAGCUAAAGAGGAAGCCACGGCUAACUACGUGCCAGCAGCCGCGGUAAUACGUAGGUGGCAAGCGUUGUCCGGAAUUACUGGGUGUAAAGGGUGCGCAGGCGGGACUGCAAGUUGGAUGUGAAAAUACCCGGGGCUUAACCCCGGGCUGGCAUCCAAAACUGUGGUUCUUGAGUGGAGUAGAGGUAAGCGGAAUUCCGAGUGUAGCGGUGAAAUGCGUAGAUAUUCGGAGGAACACCAGUGGCGAAGGCGGCUUACUGGGCUCUAACUGACGCUGAGGCACGAAAGCAUGGGUAGCAAACAGGAUUAGAUACC
rnacentral:rRNA from 1 species